UUGAUUUUAAAUGGAUGUGCUGACCUCUCACAAGGGGGUAUGUGCACUCCUAACAAAAACCAAUAUCCACCUGUGCACUCUUUGUAGGCAAUGGGUACUUUGUAACAAAAGUCACCCCUGUCUAUGUUUCUUUCACAAACACCAUUUGAAUUUCUCUGAAUGAUAUUUGUGAUAUAAACACAAUUGUAAUA
rnacentral:misc_RNA from 1 species